rnacentral:lncRNA from 1 species
GGGAUCGUUGCAGGACACGGGUGUGAGUCUGGGAGCCGUGGGACUCAGGGAGAUUUCUGCUGAUGGCCCCAGGGCUCCUCAAGGCCACCCUGGAAGAGGGAAGCCGAGGGUGCAAUCCUGCAGGUGGGUGGGAAUCGGGGGAAAAGCGACAAGCUCCACAGAAGAUAAAACCUUCUGACAGACCUGCCGGCUGAGGGGAGUGGAGCUGGGAUCAGGCAGCGAACAGCACGGACACACCAGUGGUCAAGGAGAGGCCGGGCAGAGGUCUCCCGGGCACUGUCACUGAUGGGCACUUGCUGAGUCACGGCAGCACUAGCGCAUUCACCGUCCUCACCCCACGUGAUUGGCGCCACCUAACGCGGCAGGUAUGUUUACCCCGGUUUCACAGGUGAGGCACCAGGUCCAGCACCCUGCCCCAGGACCCCAGCAGCAGGUCCACACCCGUGCGACCCCUCGGACCCUGCUCGCCCACCAGCACUGCGUCCAGCAGGUUUGGCUCUGGCACUGCCAUUGACUUGGCUCAUCGACUUGAAACUGGGGCUCCCACUACUGGGUGUGGCACCUGGGCCCUGGGGUUCUUGUGAGGAUAGGGUCCCCCCCGUCCCGGUAUCCACAAACCCAAGC